GCGCUUGAUCCGGCUGUGAUGGCGCUCCUCCAGCAAGCGCCAAGUCAGAGCCCGCUGACACCUGGCUUGACCGUCAACAAUACGGGCAUCAUCCGGAGCCUGCAGCAGUUUCUAGGAGGACAAGGAGAUGGAGGACAAGGAGGUGGAGAAGGACAAGGAGGUGUAGACGGAAAUGGCGAAGGUUGAUGUUGGUUGUAUGAACUUUGUUGUUCUAUUUGGAUCAUUCUAUGUUGGAGACUUUGUUGUCGGAGACUUUGUUGUUGAACUAUUGUAUGGACUUUGUUGGACUAUUAUGUAUGAACUUUGUUGUUGAUGAUGUGCAAAUACUCUAUAUAUUAUGCUAUAUAUGGAUCUGGAUAUAUAUUUGUAUU